rnacentral:lncRNA from 1 species
AAAGGACAGAGUCUGGCUAUGAGAGCAGUGAUAGACUCAGCAGUGGCUCCACCAAUCCUGAUUCUCCUGGGGUCGAUGGCUUUGCUGUAAAAGACCAGAGAUCAACAGCGGAGGUACCGCUGCAAAGCCAGCAGCACCAAAAAGGAGGCGAUGCAAAAUCUAGUAUAAUGUCCUCACCUCCACACAACGGCAAACAUCAACCUAAACCUCAGGGAAAGAACCAUGAUCAAGUUUCACAUUCACAUCAAAAGAGCAGUCCAUGUUCAAGGU